GGGCCGGUAGCUUAGCCUGGUUGGAGCGUUCGACUGAUAUUGGAAAAUUGGCGGCUCAAAAAUCUCUCCCGGCCCA
rnacentral:tRNA from 1 species